CUCUGUAGCAUGCUGCCAGAAGCAUUGGUUUUACUGCUGCAGAAAACUGAAGAUGAGAAGCAGUUUCAGUAAGAAUGGCAGAGUAUAAACAAAGGUCUUGUUAGAAGUUCCUGAACAAAUAAAUAUUCACGCCAACCCCAUGAAUAGUACCACAUACGAAGGACAGUACUCAUGGACAAGAGAGAGUAUGCUGUGAUUCGAAUGUUUAUCUCCCUCCAAAAUUUGUGUGUUGGAACAUAAGCCCCAAAGUAAUGACACUAAACAGCCACCAGAGAAUGUGUCGUUUCUGAGGAACAGCGAACCUGUGUGCUCCCACAUCUUGGAAUUUCCGACCUCCAGA